rnacentral:tRNA from 1 species
GCGGGAGUGGCUCAACGGUAGAGCAUUGCCUUCCCAAGGCAGCGGUUGCGAGUUCGAAUCUCGUCUCUCGCUCCA